UGGGGAAUUUUGGACAAUGGGCGCAAGCCUGAUCCAGCCAUGCCGCGUGCGGGAAGAAGGCCUUCGGGUUGUAAACCGCUUUUGUCAGGGAAGAAAUCCUUGGCUCUAAUACAGUCGGGGGAUGACGGUACCGGAAGAAUAAGCACCGGCUAACUACGUGCCAGCAGCCGCGGUAAUACGUAGGGUGCAAGCGUUAAUCGGAAUUACUGGGCGUAAAGCGUGCGCAGGCGGUUUGCUAAGACCGAUGUGAAAUCCCCGGGCUCAACCUGGGAACUGCAUUGGUGACUGGCAGGCUAGAGUAUGGCAGAGGGGGGUAGAAUUCCACGUGUAGCAGUGAAAUGCGUAGAGAUGUGGAGGAAUACCGAUGGCGAAGGCAGCCCCCUGGGCCAAUACUGACGCUCAUGCACGAAAGCGUGGGGAGCAAACAGGAUUAGAUACCCUGGUAGUCCACGCCCUAAACGAUGUCAACUAGUUGUUGGGGAUUCAUUUCCUUAGUAACGUAGCUAACGCGUGAAGUUGACCGCCUGGGGAGUACGGUCGCAAGAUUAAAACUUAAAUGAAUUGACGGGGU
rnacentral:rRNA from 1 species